AUGUGUGACUUAGUGAAGGUGUGCCGUGGGGCCAUCAUCAUCAGCACAGCGAUUAGCCUCAUUGUGGACUGGAGUCUGGAGACUUUGGAGAAGCAGGAAGGAAGGAGCCGCCGACCCGAUUAUGUCUCUGCAGAUCAGGUUACCCAGUUACCCUCAGAAGAAUCAAUCAGUGAAGGGACAGAUAUCACACUGAACUGUAGUUAUGAUGUAGUAGCAUAUAAUAUGUUCUGGUAUGUGCAAAAACCUGGGCAAACCCUUCAGUAUAUUCUCCGGGAUACAUCUACUGAGGAAUCUCUUGGGGAAGAACAUAAAGGACACUUCAGCUAUAAACAUGACAAGGCAAACAAGGAAUUCCCUCUGCACAUCACCAGGGCGAGAAGCUCUGACUCUGGGACUUAUUUUUGUGCUCUGAGAGACACACUGUGUGAAGAGCAUAAACAUGUUGUACAAUAA